GGCGUGCCUAAUACAUGCAAGUCGUACGCUUCUUUUUCCACCGGAGCUUGCUCCACCGGAAAAAGAAGAGUGGCGAACGGGUGAGUAACACGUGGGUAACCUGCCCAUCAGAAGGGGAUAACACUUGGAAACAGGUGCUAAUACCGUAUAACAAUCGAAACCGCAUGGUUUUGAUUUGAAAGGCGCUUUCGGGUGUCGCUGAUGGAUGGACCCGCGGUGCAUUAGCUAGUUGGUGAGGUAACGGCUCACCAAGGCCACGAUGCAUAGCCGACCUGAGAGGGUGAUCGGCCACAUUGGGACUGAGACACGGCCCAAACUCCUACGGGAGGCAGCAGUAGGGAAUCUUCGGCAAUGGACGAAAGUCUGACCGAGCAACGCCGCGUGAGUGAAGAAGGUUUUCGGAUCGUAAAACUCUGUUGUUAGAGAAGAACAAGGAUGAGAGUAACUGUUCAUCCCUUGACGGUAUCUAACCAGAAAGCCACGGCUAACUACGUGCCAGCAGCCGCGGUAAUACGUAGGUGG
rnacentral:rRNA from 1 species